rnacentral:rRNA from 1 species
UACGGAGGGUGCGAGCGUUGUCCGGAAUCAUUGGGCGUAAAGGGCGCGUAGGUGGCCCGGUCAGCGUGCGGUGAAAGCUCGGGGCUCAACCCCGAGUCGGCCGUGCGAACUGCUGGGCUUGAGCACUGUAGAGGCAGGCGGAAUUCCGGGUGUAGCGGUGGAAUGCGUAGAGAUCCGGAAGAACACCGGUGGCGAAGGCGGCCUGCUGGGCAGUGGCUGGACACUGAGGCGCGACAGCGUGGGGAGCAAACAGGG